CCCGCCUCCAGUGCGGAUGCGACAGUCAAACUUUUAAACGGUUUGGGAUAUGAAUAUUCUUUCAGCAUAACACGAUAUCUGCCAUCCUCCUAAUAUAAAAUCUACUGUAUCCAUCCAUCCAAAGUUCACAAAGCCGUGGUUCGGAGGGGUUCAUGGCUCUGCUUUAAAGCCAAACCUAAGCUUGACUCUGAUGCAUGCAAGAAAGUUCCUCCCCAGCUCUUCUGCACUGUCCAGAGCUGAUACAAACGCAAGAAGGACAUUGUCACUCUCACACAGUCAUAUAUUCGGACACUUUCUCCUCUGUCACUUCCUCCAUCUUCUGUGUUAGAAACUGCCACUACCUCAGUUUCUCCACCAAACUGUUAGCCACUGUGUCAACAGCCAUGACUGCUGAUCCGCCAGGACCACCAGGGGAUAGCCAGCAGCACCUGAGCAACAGCUGCUGGGUCUUUAGGCCGUGGAUAAGCACUGUCCCACGAAUGGACCGAGUGGACCAUCUGGACAAGGACUGAAACUGGUUUAACACUCAGCAACCAGCAGGUCUGCACCAUCAUAGCUCUCUGUCAAAACUUAAUGCCAUAUGACAAGCUGCGUGAGGCAUCCCCUGCUCGGCAUCAUGUGCGGCUGAGCACUGGACUUCAGACAUCCCAAAACAAAGGGUGAAUUUACACCAGGCAUGGGAACCAUGGCUUGUCGUGUCUUGUGUCUUAGGAUCCACCGGAUCACCUGACCAGUGGACAGAGUGUUGUUGCUUAGCAAGAGGCCAUCUUUGUCAGACUCUGUGAAAUUUACAAGAGCCCACAACACACAUUCAUUAUGCACUGACAAAAUGGACAAUGAUUAAAAGGCUGAGAAAAAAAAUAGACCAAUAAUUUGCGAAAACUUGUGUUUUAAUUGGUGGUGUGUAAACAGUGUCUAAGUUGCAGAUUGGAUCUCUAUAUACAUAAAU